rnacentral:rRNA from 1 species
GAUGAACGCUAGCUACAGGCUUAACACAUGCAAGUCGAGGGGAAACGACAUCGAAAGCUUGCUUUUGAUGGGCGUCGACCGGCGCACGGGUGAGUAACGCGUAUCCAACCUGCCCACCACUUGGGGAUAACCUUGCGAAAGUAAGACUAAUACCCGAUGAUAUCCCUAGACGACAUCUGAAAGGGAUUAAAGAUUUAUCGGUGAUGGAUGGGGAUGCGUCUGAUUAGCUUGUUGGCGGGGUAACGGCCCACCAAGGCAACGAUCAGUAGGGGUUCUGAGAGGAAGGUCCCCCACAUUGGAACUGAGACACGGUCCAAACUCCUACGGGAGGCAGCAGUGAGGAAUAUUGGUCAAUGGGCGAGAGCCUGAACCAGCCAAGUAGCGUGCAGGAUGACGGCCCUAUGGGUUGUAAACUGCUUUUAUAAGGGAAUAAAGUGAGUCUCGUGAGACUUUUUGCAUGUACCUUAUGAAUAAGGACCGGCUAAUUCCGUG